rnacentral:tRNA from 1 species
UAGCUCAGUCAGUUAGAGCAUGGUGCUGAUAACACCAAGCUCACGGGUUCGAUUCCCAU